ACGAACGCUGGCGGCGUGCUUAACACAUGCAAGUCGCACGGAAAGGCCCUGCUUUUGUGGGGUGCUCGAGUGGCGAACGGGUGAGUAACACGUGAGUAACCUGCCCUUGACUUUGGGAUAACUUCAGGAAACUGGGGCUAAUACCGGAUAGGAGCUCCUGCUGCAUGGUGGGGGUUGGAAAGUUUCGGCGGUUGGGGAUGGACUCGCGGCUUAUCAGCUUGUUGGUGGGGUAGCGGCUUACCAAGGCUUUGACGGGUAGCCGGCCUGAGAGGGUGACCGGCCACAUUGGGACUGAGAUACGGCCCAGACUCCUACGGGAGGCAGCAGUGGGGAAUAUUGCACAAUGGGCGGAAGCCUGAUGCGGCAACGCCGCGUGCGGGAUGACGGCCUUCGGGUUGUAAACCGCUUUCGCCUGUGACGAAGCGUGAGUGACGGUAAUGGGUAAAGAAGCACCGGCUAACUACGUG
rnacentral:rRNA from 1 species